rnacentral:rRNA from 1 species
AUUGAACGCUGGCGGCAGGCCUAACACAUGCAAGUCGAACGAGUGGCGGACGGGUGAGUAAUGUCUGGGAAACUGCCUGAUGGAGGGGGAUAACUACUGGAAACGGUAGCUAAUACCGCAUACCAUCGGAUGUGCCCAGAUGGGAUUAGCUUGUUGGUGGGGUAACGGCUCAACAAGGCGACGAUCCCUAGCUGGUCUGAGAGGAUGACCAGCCACACUGGAACCAGGACACGGUCCAGACUCCUACGGGAGGCAGCAGUGGGUAAUAUUGCACAAUGGGCGCAAGCCUGAUGCAGCCAUGACGCGUGUAUGAAGAAGGCCUUCGGGUUGUAAAGUACUUUCAGCGGGGAGGCGUUACCCGCAGAAGAAGCACCGGCUAACUCCGUGCCAGCAGCGGCGGUAAUUC